GUGAAUCAUCGAAUCUUUGAACGCACAUUGCGCCCCUUGGUAUUCCGAGGGGCAUGCCUGUUCGAGCGUCAUAGCACACAUCUCAAGCCUGGCUUGGUGUUGGGUCUUCGUCUAACCUUUCUCCUCAAGGACCUGGACGUACCUGAAAAUUAGUUGGCGGUACCCCAUGGUGGUCUCAAGCGUAGUAGACUCUCUCUCGCUUUGGAUGACCUGUCCAUGUAGCUUACCAGCUCUGCUGCGCAUGCAUCUUUUAACUAAAGUUUGACCUCGGAUCAGGUAGGGAUACCCGCUGAACUUAAGCAUAUCAAUAAGCGGAGGA
rnacentral:misc_RNA from 1 species